rnacentral:rRNA from 1 species
GUGAAUUGAUAUUUUGUGAAAGAAAAUUGAUCUCAACCGCAAUGAGAUUAUUUUGCGAGAAAAAGAAAUUUUCUCAAUCGCAAAUGUUGUGCGAGAAAACUUAAUCUCAAUCGCAAAACAAUGUCGUUGUACUAAUAUGACAUGUUAUAGGAAUUGCUAAAAAGCAAACACAUUGAACAUGCCACAUAUAAUAACCACAUAUUUUCUGGAAUGUUAAACUCAAGAGAAAAUGGGCUAAAUGAUGAUCGGUAUAUGGCCUAAACAUUACCAGUGCUAAUAAAUAGCAAGUAGUUGGACCAAGAUGCAAUAUCUCGAAACAUCCCGAAAGUAGCCACAAAAUGAUGACAGACACAGGUUUUGGGCUAUUCCGUAAAUAGGUAAGCCGCAAGGGCUAAAUUGCAAAACUAGCGAAGAGAUAAGGUUCUAUCUCUUUCCUCCCGAGCGAUUUCCACCAGGAGAAAUCCUGUAACCGCCUCAUCGCCGUUUUGGCUCGACGGCCAGGGACACGACUAUGAGCCCGCCAUCGUCUCCACCGCAGGGAGCCACGCCAGAGGGAGCAGCCGCCACCGUUGCCGGAGGGCCAGCCUCGGGCCGUUGCCUCGGGCGCCGCCUGCAUGGAUGCAAGCCGAGGGCUACGACGUCGCCUCUGCCCGGGCCGUGGACCGCGCUGCCGCGCGCCUGAGGGCAUCGCCAUGCCUGGCACCGGCUGUUGGCCGCUGCGGCCGCCUCCAGGUGUAGCGCUGGGAGCAGCCGGGCCAAAGGAUGCUGCCGCUCCGCUAGGAGGCUAGCCGAGGGAGCGCAGUCCGGGCCAUGGGUCGCUGCCGAAGUUUGCCUUGGACGGCAUUCAAACGACGCCCUGGAGAUCGAAAGACUUGCCGCGCCUGGGUGGGUGCUGGCCGCCGCCGUCUUCGCCGACCGCCAUGGCGCGCGGAGAUGCAUCAUGCGCCGCCAUGGCGUGGGGGCCGUGGCCGGUAGCCGCUAGGAGCCACGGAUGCUUGUGUAGCCGCAGGAGCCGAACAUCGGAUCCUGGCUCGCCGCAUCGGCCUCUGGGGCCGAGGGGCGCCGUGCACCACACACAGGCCGGAGGGAGCGUCACUGCGGAGGGCCGGCCGUCUCGCAGCACCUUGUGCCACAUCCGCCGCCGUUCUUCCGCUAUGGCCUAUUUCUCUAAUCGAGAGCAGAGUGCGUGAUAACGUGUUCGAGAUCAACAUAACAAAUGAUCGAACUAUCUCUUUGCAUUAGAUGAAGUGCUAUAUAUAGCACUGGAAUAGGCGUUUACAAAGGGGGUGUCGGUUCGACAGAACCGACGCAAUGGUUGGAGAAGUAACUGAAGGAAAUAUGCCUUAGAGGCAAUAAUAAAGUUGUUAUUUAUAUUUCCUUAUAUCAUGAUAAAUGUUUAUUAUUCAUGCUAGAAUUGUAUUAACCAGAAACUUAGUACAUGUGUGGAUACAUAGAC